rnacentral:rRNA from 1 species
UAGGGAAUCUUCGGCAAUGGACGAAAGUCUGACCGAGCAACGCCGCGUGAGUGAAGAAGGUUUUCGGAUCGUAAAACUCUGUUGUUAGAGAAGAACAAGGACGUUAGUAACUGAACGUCCCCUGACGGUAUCUAACCAGAAAGCCACGGCUAACUACGUGCCAGCAGCCGCGGUAAUACGUAGGUGGCAAGCGUUGUCCGGAUUUAUUGGGCGUAAAGCGAGCGCAGGCGGUUUCUUAAGUCUGAUGUGAAAGCCCCCGGUUCAAUCGGUGAGGGUAAUUGUAACUAGGGAGACUUGAGUGCAGAAGAGGAGAGUGGAAUUCCAUGUGUAGCGGUGAAUUGCGUCGAUAUAUGGAGGAAAACCAGUGGCGAAGCCGGCUCUCUGGUCUGUAACUGACGCUAAGGUUCGAAAGCAUGGGGAGCAAACAGG